rnacentral:rRNA from 1 species
AGUGAACGCUGGCGGUAGGCCUAACACAUGCAAGUCGAACGGCAACACAGUAAGAGCUUGCUCUUACGGGUGGCGAGUGGCGGACGGGUGAGGAAUACAUCGGAAUCUACUUUUUCGUGGGGGAUAACGUAGGGAAACUUACGCUAAUACCGCAUACGACCUACGGGUGAAAGCAGGGGAUCUUCGGACCUUGCGCGAUUGAAUGAGCCGAUGUCGGAUUAGCUAGUUGGCGGGGUAAAGGCCCACCAAGGCGACGAUCCGUAGCUGGUCUGAGAGGAUGAUCAGCCACACUGGAACUGAGACACGGUCCAGACUCCUACGGGAGGCAGCAGUGGGGAAUAUUGGACAAUGGGCGCAAGCCUGAUCCAGCCAUACCGCGUGGGUGAAGAAGGCCUUCAGGUUGUAAAGCCCUUUUGUUGGGAAAGAAAAGCAGCAGGUUAAUACCCCGCUGUUCUGACGGUACCCAAAGAAUAAGCACCGGCUAACUUCGUG